UAAGUAUUAUAAUUAGUAUUAGAUUCAGGUUCUUUAGGAUAGGACACCUUUCGGAAUGAUCAUUGUAACAUGCUAUUUACAUAUGCUCUAGACUUCUCUGGAUUUUAGUAUUUGUUUCUUGCUUGAUAUUGUUUGCAUUGAUUGUAGUUCCAUCUUAUCUAGGUCAUUAUCCCUCAUUACUCCUGGACAAUAUUUGA